AAUCACAUGGCAUAGAGGUUUGGGUGUUGGACUAUGACUCUGAAGGCUGGGGUUCGAUUCCCAGUUUGGCCA